UUGUGCCAGCCACCGCGGUCACACAAGAGACCCAAAUUAACAGUACGCGGCGUAAAGUGUGGUGUGUACGCUAUCACUAAAACUAAGACCAAAAUGCAACUAAGCCGUCAUAAGCUCAAGAUGCCCCUAGGACCCCUAUUAAUAAAAUCUUAGCGCCCUGAUUAACUUUACCCACGAAAGCUAAGGCACAAACUGGGAUUAGAUACCCCACUAUGCUUAGCCCUAAAUCUCAGCGCUUUGCUUUCUACUAAAGCGCUCGCCCGAGAACUACGAGCAUAAACGCUUAAAACUCUAAGGACUUGGCGGUGUCCUAAACCCACCUAGAGGAGCCUGUUCUAUAAUCGAUAAUCCACGUUACACCCAACCUCUCCUAGCCACAUCAGCCUACAUACCGCCGUCGCCAGCUCACCUUCUCUGAGAGCCCAACAGUGAGCAUAAUAGCCAAACCCGCUAACAAGACAGGUCGAGGUAUAGCCCAUGGAGCGGAAGAAAUGGGCUACAUUUUCUAGCAUAGAACAAUUACGAAAAGGGACGUGAAAUCGCCCCCAAAAGGCGGAUUUAGCAGUAAACUGGAACAAUAAAGUCCUCUUUAAGCUGGCCCUAGGACACGUACACACCGCCCGUCACCCUCCUCACAAGCUAUCUCACACUAUAAAUAAUACCCCCACCAGCUAAAGAUGAGGUAAGUCGUAACAAGGUAAGUGUACCGGAAGGUGCACUUAGCACAA
rnacentral:rRNA from 1 species